UACGAAGGGGGCUAGCGUUGCUCGGAAUGACUAGGGCGUAAAGGCGCUAGGCGGAUUGGACACAGUCAGAAUGUGAAAUUCCCGGGCUUAACCUGGGGGCUGCAUUUGAUACGUGUUGUCUGGAGUGAGGAAGAGGGCUGUGGAAUUCCCAGUGUAGAGGUGAAAAUUCGUAGAUAUUGGGAAGGACACCGGUGGCGAAGGCGGCG
rnacentral:rRNA from 1 species